rnacentral:sRNA from 1 species
ACACGAGGAAGGAGGUGGUCUGAAGUUGAAUGACAAACGGACACGUGAGGUGGCUGUCCGCUAGCCACGAUGCUUUUCGGGUUCACUGACCGCAGCGCGGCUGGCGAAUCCCAGACAGCUACCCGACCCCCGAGCCCUCCGGCCACGUCCAGGCCGGAACUCCACGAACGACGAAACCCCCGGGCUUCGUCACGUGGACGGGCCCGGGGGUCGCUGUCG